rnacentral:sRNA from 1 species
AGCAGACGGGGCUAAGCGUUCCCCAGCUCGCCUUCACACACAGCCCGUGCCACCACGCCGACGGUACCAUGAAGGACGAGGUAGCUCUACUGGCUGCUGUCACCCUCCUGGGAGUCCUGCUGCAAGCCUACUUCUCCCUGCAGGUGAUCUCGGCGCGCAGGGCCUUCCGCGUGUCGCCGCCGCUCACCACCGGCCCACCCGAGUUCGAGCGCGUCUACCGAGCCCAGUGAGGCGCGGCGGGAGGGCGCGGGGCGGGGAGCGAGCCCCAGGCGGGUCCGGGUCGCAGGACCAUCCCGGCCGGCGCGCUCAUCCCACCCGCCCACCGCAGGGUGAACUGCAGCGAGUACUUCCCGCUGUUCCUCGCCACGCUCUGGGUCGCCGGCAUCUUCUUUCAUGAAGGUCGGGGUGUGGGGCAGGGGCGCACGCGCUGGACCCCCGGGACCCGCGCAGGGCGCUCACCAGGCCCGUGCGUACCUCUCGCAGGGGCGGCGGCCCUGUGCGGCCUGGUCUACCUGUUCGCGCGCCUCCGCUACUUCCAGGGCUACGCGCGCUCCGCGCAGCUCA